CUCAAUGCCCUUUACCGUGUUCAAAUUAAUUGCUUUUAUACAUCGAUCUGCUAAACAAUUGCCGAACGGUUGUAGAUAAAUGUUCAAGUACGCUCGGCACACCUCUCACCUCGCAGCCGCACCCGCUCUCGUUUCAAUUGUUUCGCGAGUUGAAACAUACAAUGGAGUUGAGUCUAUUAACUGUGUUUAAAAUAAUGUCGAAAACCUUAACGGACAUAGUCUUAAUAUUCUAGAGGCUGUACACGUGACUGAAGGCCAGACCAUUAACCAAACUUAAAUCUGUGUUGACGUGAAAAAAGCGCGCGAAAAAUGUCAAGUUGUCAUCUGUCACGUGCAACAAUGGCUUGUGAAUAAGGGAGCUUAUUCACGAAUUUUUAACGAUUUACAUUUCGGAGGACAUCUGUGGAACGUUGUCCGAGGCAAGUAAAUGAAAUAUGAUGCUAUUAGUUUAAAAGCCGUCGGAACUGUACGAUGUUGGUAUUAAUGGCAAAUAAUUGUGAACAAAAGUUAGUUUUAGGUGCACGGCUUGUGGUGUGCACUUUAAGCGAUCUUGUUUUAGAUUAAAUACUAAAUCUAGAGAAUUAUUAUAUAUAUUUUUAAAACUUCUUUUGUGUUCUAUUUUCUAUUCAAGAUUUAAUUGUUAUAAGUAAAGAAUUUAAAUACUAAACAUUUCAUACUUCCAGCGUCACACAACUUAUCGACGAGGAACAAAAAUUUAAUUGGGGCAUAAAAACCGCUACAUAAAUAAUAAUAGUAAAAGAGUAACAUGUUUUGAAACCACCAAUAAGUUUUUUAAAAGAAAUUAUUUUUUUUUGAAACCCGUAUGUAAAGUGA